rnacentral:lncRNA from 1 species
GGAACAGUCAUGCUGUGGGGCUGACUCCAAAAUGUUUCCAGAAAUGCCAGUGAGUCACUUCUCCAGGUCUUCAACAGCAAUGCUGCAAGCCCUGCUAGCGCUUCAAGCCAAGAUACAUUUGGUGAUCACCAGUCCUCAGCCAUUGUACAGCAACAAGUGUUCCUGACUGGAGGAUUCACUGAAUUCUUUUGCCGUGCCAUUUAACUGUUAUUUUACUCUUCUCCCUCCUUGAAAUUCAGUUGUCAUUAAAU